UAUACUUUUCGCAAUUUUUCCUAUAUCUGCUUCGUACCAAAUUUCGACAUUCUGAGUUCACGGGAAGUAACCUGUAGGUUUUGAUUACCUUGCGAUUGUCGAAAAUUUUCAGCAUAAACGGCUGUGUCUUUUGUUUUCGUUGGCUUAGGAUUUCAUAUCAGAUUUUCAUAUGAUAUAUUUUUAAACAAUUUCUAUUGGAAUGUACUAUGUGUAAAAUCUCUUCUAAUUUAUAAUAACUGUGAAGAUAAUAAGCAGUAAGUGCAGAAUAGAUGAUAACGCAUUUGCGCAUUAAUAAUUGUCAAUGAUUGUUUAAGUAAAUCAAUAGAGAUAAAUUUUCAUACUGCAUUGUAAUAGGCUAAAUAUACCACAAAACUCGUCUACAAAAAAUGUAUCUAAUUAUAAAAAUAAUAUCAUUGAAAUAAAAGUAAUGUAAUAAUAAUGACAGUUAUAAUACUGAUGAUUUAAUAUUUACAAGAAAUUUUAUUUUAGUAAAAAAAUUUCAAUCAUAUCCUUAAUUUAAUGCUUGGUUUAAAUUAAAUUGUAUUUUUAUUUUACCUAUUAAGUGGCUUAUAGGCCUGUGAAUUAUAUUUCAAGAAGAAACGGAUUUGAAAUAAUUAUCUUUUGAAAUAAGGGUGUUUUCGGGAAGCAAGUAGCCUUCUAUAAUUUUUAUUAGAUAUGCUGUAAAUAUACAUAACUAUAGAUAAA